GUGCUUGCUUCCGCAGCACAUACACUAAAAUUGGAACAAUACAAAGAUUAGCCUGGUCCCUGCACAAGGAUGACAUGCAAAUUCGUGAAGCAGUCCAUAUUUUU